rnacentral:rRNA from 1 species
UGGGGAAUAUUGGACAAUGGGCGAAAGCCUGAUCCAGCCAUGCCGCGUGUGUGAAGAAGGUCUUCGGAUUGUAAAGCACUUUAAGUUGGGAGGAAGGGUUGUAGAUUAAUACUCUGCAAUUUUGACGUUACCGACAGAAUAAGCACCGGCUAACUCUGUGCCAGCAGCCGCGGUAAUACAGAGGGUGCAAGCGUUAAUCGGAAUUACUGGGCGUAAAGCGCGCGUAGGUGGUUAGUUAAGUUGGAUGUGAAAUCCCCGGGCUCAACCUGGGAACUACAUUCAAAACUGACUGACUAGAGUAUGGUAGAGGGUGGUGGAAUUUCCUGUGUAGCGGUGAAAUGCGUAGAUAUAGGAAGGAACACCAGUGGCGAAGGCGACCACCUGGACUGAUACUGACACUGAGGUGCGAAAGCGUGGGGAGCAAACA